GGGGAGGUCCAUAGCUCAGCUGUAGAGCAUCUACUUUGCAUAAAGAAAGUCCCAGGUCCAACCCCUGGCUUCUCCA